AAACCUUGCCCGCCGCGCCUCGGGACACCGACCAGAACCCUUGGGCAAGGGCGGGGGACCCAGGUUUCGUCGCCGUCCCCACGGCUUGGGGUGAAGCCGCCUCAGCAGGGCAGGAAAGCCAUUCCUGUCCCGCCUACCGCGGCCGGGCCAACCUCCCGGUCCGAACCCGACAGCUCACCUCGCAGGCGUGCGGAGAGGACAC
rnacentral:sRNA from 2 species